UGCAAGUGUCGCAAGCUGAAAAGCUCCUUGAGAAGUCCAUCCAUUUCAGUGCCUUUGAAUUAAUGAUUGGUUCAGGUGCCUUAAGAAACCUCAGUUUUCUACAGGGAAAACUGUGACGAGCAAGUAAAUGCUCUGCCCUGACACAAGAGUCUUACGCAGAAGAAAAUGGUGAUUUCGGUCAAGGAGAUCUGAGAGAGAAACUGACACUCAAGUGGGGGAGGGACAGGAGAACAUCGUCUACACGUUUGGACAAAUUCAUCUUUCUGCCCUUCACUUCAUAUCCACGUCAAAGUCCAACACCAGCAGCUUUGUUUCCUCAGUCCCGUUGCGGCUCCCAACCGCACACACCAGCUUUGUGUUAGAAGCUCUGAUCCGCCACACGACGCCUCCACUUCCCCCGCUCUCCAAUGUGACUAGAUUUCGGAUAAAUUCACCCGUUUUCAAGUCCCAAAGUUUUACAGUCCCAUCAUCUGAGCUGAUUUUGACUGUAGAAUCGGCAUUCCCAGACACGAGUAUAUUGUCCUUGAGUUCCAUUCCACUUGUGAGAGACUGGUGGCCUGUUAGCGUGUGAAUGCAGUUGCCCGUCUCCACAUCCCAAACUCGGAUGGAAGUGUCAAGAGAUCCACUCACCACAUGGAUACCAUCAAACUACAAGAAAGUCCUGCCAGACUGUGGUGAGAACAGGCACAAGCAUGAAAUUAAUUUCUUUCGCCUUUCAACGCCUGGAAGUGAUGCUUUGACUCUAUGAAUGAGCAAGACGAUCUUUUGGGUUAGGAAAGGCUGCAAUAAGUGCUAAUUAGCACAGACAAGAAGAGAUCCUUGCGAGACCCCUCUAGAAAGAUACUCCAGGAAGAUUCUGCAUUUAAAUUAACAACAUGAGCUCUAUAAUUACUCACUUUCUAACCCAUUUAAGUAUGUGACAUGUUGAUUUUUGCAUUGUUCUAUUUUCUUCAAUCGUGUCAUGGGGAUACAGUCUUGCAGUGCACAUAGCCAUCUACUGCUGCACUAUGAUUUCUAUCAGUCAAACCUGUAACUGCAUGAGAAAAGAGGUCAAGACAGUUUGAUGAUCUCUUUUUCUGUAAUCUAAUGCUAAGUGGUAUUAAUUGCUGUGGCCUCCCUUUAACUGUUAGUUGACUCCUCCUGCUAUAGUCUGGUAUGUUUUUAUCUGAGAUAAUGUAUCCUAAAUACCCCACCUUUCAGUUUACUCCAUUUAAAUACUGAAAUAUUUCAGCUUUCUGCCAUCCUUUGGAUCUUCUCCUGGUGCUCGUACCUUUUGAAAAAACACCAAUUCUACCCCACCGGUAACUUUAGAAAAAAAUCAUCCAAUUCAGACUGUCUGGAUCAACUGUAAUAAGAAAAACCAUAACUCUGGUAGUUGCUUAACAUCCUAGUGAGUUUGUACUGAAAUGAAGUGUUCUGUUAUCACUGCAUGCUGUAUUUCCAUCACAUGAAUCUUCUCCCAAAAUAAAUAUUUUUUCUGCAUCAGUGAUAGUAUACUAAUUUCUGUUGUUAAUAUCCUGUUCUAACAUCCUUGAAAAUACCUUACUCUUUUGCUAUACAUAGAUUUCCUGUUCGUUAACAUUUUUUACCAGUCUUCUGCAAUUCCUGGCUCUAGCUUAAUUCAGUGCUAUCAAAUCCAUCUUGCUCAGUUCAUAGCUGUUAUUCACUUUUACAGCUCCUGGAUUUUUUUAAAUCUCAACCGAUUUGCUCAUAUUUUAAGAAAUCAUCCUUCAGCAAGAACACAGAAUCCUUAUUUUGGGCUUUACAUCUGUCAGGGGAAUUAUUUAGUCAUGUUCAUUUGCACAAACCAACCUUUAGGGUUUUUUAUUAAUUCUUCAGCAUCAGUAAGCAUGAGGGGCUGAUACAGCACUCUUCCAUCUUUCAUAUGCAAUUUCUGGCUCUCUUAAAAGUUUGGGGUAAACAGUCACACUAGGAUUUGUAAUUACUUUCAAAAAAUAACUGAACAGGAAUUGUUAAGUCAUGCUACUAUGAUCAAUUUGAUGUAUUUAAAGGAACAUUUUGCUUUUGAGAGGGUGAUAUGUAACAAAAGAAGUAUUUUUCAGUUGGGUUUAAGCUCCCUUUUCAAUUAAAAAAUGUAAAUUUCAAAAUGGGUUCCUUCAUUAGACAGUUUGUUGCAGGGAAGCCAACAGAGGCAGGGUGAGGCUGCCCAUGGCUUUUAAUUUUAUUCUUCCCCACAGUAGUAUUUACAGUCCUGUCAAGGAUCUUCUAGGCAUGCAAAGACAAAUGUUUAACACAUUCAGCUUCCACUGUGAUAAAGUGGAUACCUUUUACAUCUUAAACAUGUUACAUCCUCAAUAGCUGUCCUGUUGUUCACCUAACUAUGGCAUUAAAACAAAGCUAAGUACAUACAAUACAAGUCUAGAAAGAAAAAGUACUGUUUCCCCGAGGCCGUUUCUGUAUCCUUGGAGCAUGGUCAGCCAGUCACCUUAAACCAAAAAUACUGUGUGCUGAGUAGCUGGCUGCGAUGUUCUAACAUGAGUGAAAUGUUCAGUACUGUCUUUUUGAUUGCACAUAUUGUUUUGCUUCCCUGAGCCAAAAUUAAAUUAUUGAAGCUUAUUAAAUUCUUGCCUGAGCUGGAUCUAAUUUAAUAGGAAAUAUUUAAACCUAAAGCAAGUUACUAGGUUUUGGUUUUUUUUUUUUUUUUGGUGGCUCAGCAAUAUAGUAGCUUAGAAAGAAAAACAAAUUGUGUGUUUGAAAUCAGAGCCAGUAAGGUGAACAGUCCAUUUCAGUAACUUGAAAACAACAGAAAGAAUGCUGGGAGACAAGUGAGAAAGGGAGAUCCAGAGGGGGAAAAGCAGGCUAAAUUAAGCUUUAAGGAAGAUGAAGUAACGUAUCUGUCGGAAUUCUUUAGAAUCCAUGUCACAAACGACUCGGCAAGAAUAUCCAGGAGAACAAGGAUCUAUGCCAACAGUAACAUGAGCAGCAUGGCAAUUUCACAUCAAGGUGACUUUUUUCAAACUAGACUAGUUUCUGUGUAGGAAAAUAUGACCUAAAUGUUUACCGGUACUUUUUCCAAUGCUUGCACCAGACAGCACUGAAGACCACCCUGCAGCAUGCUCUGAUGGCGCAGCAGCAUUUUUGCCAUACCAGUGCUCUACCUGCGGCUCAUUUCCUGAGGAACUGAGCACACUAACCGGCUUACCUUGCCUGUAACCGCUGACCACACUUUCAGCGUGUUGUCGUCAGAGCCGCUCACUAUUCGGUUCCCGCAGAACUGAAGGCAUGUGAUCACAUGGUCAUCAUGGCCCUUGAGCACCUGGCGAUAAAGAACAUGAAAAGAGCAACUCUCUCCGCUGCAUCUCAUUACUACCAAGAGUCUUGUCUUCUGCCAGUAUGUGGAUUUCACUCUUCUGCCUUUGGCCCCUUCUCUGGUGUCCCCAUCUGCAAGCCUGGAAUUAACAGUUCCUUCAUGUGACUGAGCACCUACCUCACUGAGUCUAACCAGCCUACAACACUGUGGUGUUUGCCUGUGCUCUCAUGCCUGCCCAUAUUUAUUAUUACUUUUAAGCUCACAAAUGCAGGCUUGUUCCCCUCUUAACCUUCUCCUUUUCCCUCAUUCUGUCCUCCUAAUGCAUUUUCACUGAAAAGUGUUAAGAGAAGAAUCUUUAGAGAUUUAAGAGGUUAGACACCUGGUUUCCAUUGCAAAGUAAAAUUAAUUGAUUUAGAUGCCUUUACAAAUAACCACCUACAUUCACACUGUCAUGGUCUUUAAAGCCUUUGCAUUGACCUCUCACAAGUUCUUGCCCCCAUACUCUGAUGCAGCCUGGACAGUCCCUAAAUUUGCCUUUGUCCAAGAAGGGUACUGCUCUGCGAUCCCAUACAUGUGCUCUGCCGCCAGAACAGACUCCUUGUUCAGAGAAGAUUAUCUUCAGCCAGAAUUCUCCAGUAACGACAUGUCUGGGCUGCCUGCAGAAGGUCCCUGGGUUCCAGGAAUGACAGCACAUACAGUGCCAGCUGUGAAAAAGAGAGAGAAAGUGUAUUUUCUGCCUUGCUUUUGGAAGAAAAAGUGAACUACUGCAAGUAUGAUCACACAUCAGGGGCUGAAAUACAGAAAAUUGAAAUGAUAAAUUAUUAAACAGUCUCAGAACCGUAACAGAGCUACAGUUUAUUCCGGUGGGCACAUGGAAGUGUAAAAUCAUCUGAAGUAACUGGAUCCAUACAGAUCACACUAGAAAUGAUUCUUGUAUUUGCAAGAAUGUAGAUGUCACCUGAAAUCACUAUUAUCUUUUUUUCAAAUGUAAUCCAAAUUACUUUGAAGCAUUAACAGAAUUAUUGCUAAAAUAAUGUUAUUUUAGCUAACAAGUAUACCAGAAGUUAUUCUGAGAGUUUAACUAGAAAACACAACACUGACCAUGUGAGCAAAUAGGAAAGUGCAGUCUGAUGAGUAACGUCAGUCAGUAAGAGCCUAAUUACAGGAAAAAUAACAGCUACCUGCACCCACAUUCAGAAGCACAGUGCAGCUGUAGGAAGCGCAGCAUUACCUCCCCCUCAUUUCCUGACCUGAGCACAAAUGCACCCCUGAGCAGUGCUACAGGGGGUUUGGGGACUGGGAUGCAGGAGGACUGAAGCAUCACUUCAGUACUGUACUCGUGACAUUACCAAAAACAUAUGGGAGAUCCCAACAAGCACCAGAAGAAAAACAAAAGAUGAACUUUUCCGUGUGACAGGAUUAAAGGUUAUUGGGAGAGCUGACUGAGCUAAGCCAUGUAAUGCCCACGACAAACUCCCCAAAAUCUACACAAAUAUCUCAAGAUGUACCAAAGUCUUAAAUGGGGCAGGGGCAUCUAAAACACAAUCCAAAACACAGGGAUAGCUAUCAUUAAAGGUAGGAUGACCAAAUAGAGCUUUUCUACUUGACAGCGACAAUGUAUGUCUGCAGUCAUGAAGAAUGAAAGUGUAAGAUCAGGGAAGUCCCUUCCAUGGCUAAAAACUCUGCAGAAACACCAAUACUGAUAAAAAGGGAUGCAGAGAACUACUUGCAUGCUGAAACAGCGGGGUCUUUGUCAUUAACUAAUAGGAUGUAAAACUGGAUGAUCUGAUUUCACUGACAGGUUUUGCUUCUGCUUGACAUAUCUUUCUGUGUUUAGGAUUUUGUAUUUAAUUUUUAGCUCAAGUUAUGAUGCAUAUAAACAGAAUCUGCCCUUCAAUGCAGCACACACUGGAAUUCAAUAAGGAAGCCAUAACGAUAGGAUGUUGACCUCAGCAGAUUUUUGACCUUAUUAUGUGAGAAACAUUUACUUUCAGUAAUCUAGACCAGCCAGUGACCGAGAAGGAAAUAAAAAUUCAGUAUGCCAGAACUGUUUGCAUUCUGACCACACACACACACCUUGUUUGCAGGUCAUCACCUGCAGCUCAUGUUGAGCACGUAGGACUCCGCAUUUGAGGGACCUGUGUCUUAAGUUAUGCAUUAGAUCCCAUAUACACCCUGGGUCUUAAACCUGAGGAAUCUUUCUUCUGUCCCUACUCAGGGAGUCAGCAUUUAGGAUCAGGUGUAAGGCUCUCUAUUACAAGAGCAACUGUACCCAUCCUUUGAGACUUUUUGUCUUAACUCCUGGCACAUAAAAUUAUUUAGUAAGUGGUGUUUCCUAACACGCAUCAGAUAGUCCUUUCCAUUUCUGAUGGAUGUUCCUUAACUGACAGCAGAGUUUGUCUGAAUAUCACGUGUCCUGUCUAUACAGAUGUGGAUGCUUGCUAAGAUGGUGUUAAUUAAAACCUGUGAGCCAACUGAUUCUUUAACAAGUUACAUAUGGGUGACAUUUAUUUUAGACUGUAUUUAUCUAAAUUGUCAUCAAGGGUCAACACAGCCCACAGUUGACUUUAAGAUUAGCAGUGCAUGGAAGAUGAUGUCCCUUUGUCUCAGCUCAUAGAUCUAGUUCUAAGAAAACUUCAGGUGGCAAAGAUCUGACCUUUGACUCCACUGUAUUUAGGACUACUCUCCGCUGGAGCGUUAAUAAUACCCAAUAAUAAACAGUCUCUUGCCUUUUCCUUCACACACACACA